rnacentral:rRNA from 1 species
UACGAAUUGUGCAAGCGUUACUCUUAAUCACUGGGCGUAAAGCGUGCGUAGGCGGUUCGUUAAGUCUGCUGUGAAAGCCCUGGGCUCAACCUGGGAACUGCAGUGGAUACUGGCGGACUAGAGUGUGAUAGAGGAUGGUGGAAUUCCCGGUGUAGCGGUGAAAUGCGUAGAGAUCGGGAGGAACACCAGUGGCGAAGGCGGCCUGCUGGGCAGAUACUGACACUGAGGCGCGACAGCGUGGGGAGCAAACAGG